AUACAUGCAGUCGAACGCUUUGUCUUUAAUUGAUCUGACGAGCUUGCUCUGAUUUGAUUUUAUCUGACAAAGAGUGGCGAACGGGUGAGUAACACGUGGGUAACCUACCUCUUAGCAGGGGAUAACAUUUGGAAACAAGUGCUAAUACCGUAUAAUACCAACAACCGCAUGGUUGUUGGUUGAAAGAUGGUUCUGCUAUCACUAAGAGAUGGACCCGCGGUGCAUUAGCUAGUUGGUAAGGUAACGGCUUACCAAGGCAAUGAUGCAUAGCCGAGUUGAGAGACUGAUCGGCCACAAUGGGACUGAGACACGGCCCAUACUCCUACGGGAGGCAGCAGUAGGGAAUCUUCCACAAUGGGCGCAAGCCUGAUGGAGCAACGCCGCGUGUGUGAUGAAGGGUUUCGGCUCGUAAAACACUGUUAUAAGAGAAGAACGGCACUGAGAGUAACUGUU
rnacentral:rRNA from 1 species